ACGUACUUUUUAAUCGAUUAUGAAACAUUUUGUCAGGCUACUUACAAGAUGAUGGAGGCACGCUUUCAAUAUUACUAUUGAACAAAGAUCUAUCUGCAGCAUGUGUUCGCCGCUCUAAUUAUCAGUUUCUUUUGGCCGUGGUUGCCUCCUCCUCUGCUCCACUGUUUGGAUCAGCAAAAGGAGGGACUCAUUACCCUUUAUCACUUACAGGUGUGGUUGUUCCUCAUGCCUUCAAAUCAACAUUGUCCUUCAGUUUCAUUACUCGCUUGGCCGUGGUUGCCUCCUCCUCAGCUCCGCUGUUUGGACCUCCAAAAGGAGGGACUCAUUACCCUUUAUCACUUACAGUUGUACUAGACUGCGUUAUUGGCCCAGUCUGAUACACUCUGUGCAGCGAUAAGAAUAAGAGCUGCAGUGCCCUUUGCACCAAGGCCUACGGUAUUAAUGGUGUGGUUAUUGUUUUCUUUUUUUUCCCCGCUAAUUACUGCGAAGCUAUUGUGUCAUCAGACAGGUGCGAUCUAAUAAAAGGGUCCUCAGGAUUUAUUGAUCCAUGGUAACAUCAAAGCUCCAGAUACAUAACUUAUCACCCGCCUUAUCUUCCAUAGUUGUAUAAUAAAGUCAACUGCAUGAAUUGUUUUACUAAAAUACAUAAUGCUCCCAUAUACCUCCAAAUCUUAGUAUGUAGUAUAUUUUCUUCCCGUGAAUAAUACUAAUACUUUUUGCGCCCCCAUUACCUAUAACAUUUCAUUCUUAGAAAUGAGCAAGAUAAAAAAAAAUCUGUCAUAGAUUUAAAAAAUGUUUGCACAGAUAGUGAGAUAGCAAAAAGUAACCGUGUUAAGAGGCGAAGUGCAAACAUCCAACGAAGCUUACAACAGUUACCUACACCUCAUGGCAUGGUACAAUACUCUUCGGAGUAUAUCCAGUACUUGAAAAAUAAUUAUAUAAAUUGAUCAUACUACGGUGUGGUCUAAUACAAAUAUCAAUAUUGCAAUGAUAUAUUCUGGGAAAACGAAAGAGCUAAGCGAGAGACUCGCUCCACAACAAAAAAAAAUCGUUUAUAAUCUGUGUUGCAAAGGAGGGAAAAUACAUCUUCCAGUGUUUAAGACACCUCCAACUUUUACUACUAUGAAAGCCGGGAGGCUCCAAGGCCAGCCACGGCGUUCAUGUUAGUGAAAUUCUUCUUGGUCAUCCGAUUCGGAUCGCCUG